rnacentral:rRNA from 1 species
CCUACGGGAGGCAGCAGUGGGGAAUAUUGGACAAUGGGCGAAAGCCUGAUCCAGCAAUGCCGCGUGAGUGAUGAAGGCCUUAGGGUUGUAAAGCUCUUUUACCAGGGAUGAUAAUGACAGUACCUGGAGAAUAAGCUCCGGCUAACUCCGUGCCAGCAGCCGCGGUAAUACGGAGGGAGCUAGCGUUGUUCGGAAUUACUGGGCGUAAAGCGUACGUAGGCGGUUAUUCAAGUCAGAGGUGAAAGCCUGGAGCUCAACUCCAGAACUGCCUUUGAAACUAGAUAGCUAGAAUCUUGGAGAGGUGAGUGGAAUUCCGAGUGUAGAGGUGAAAUUCGUAGAUAUUCGGAAGAACACCAGUGGCGAAGGCGACUCACUGGACAAGUAUUGACGCUGGGGUACGAAAGCGUGGGGAGCAAACAGGAUUAGAUACCCUGGUAGUCCACGCCGUAAACGAUGAUAACUAGCUGUUCGGGCUCUACGAGCUUGAGUGGCGCNGCUACGCAUAAGUUAUCCGCCGUGGGAGGUACGGUCGCGAGAGUUAAACUAACUAAUAGUUAGUUAGUACGGCGUUGAGACGUUGCCGACGGACGACGACGAGGGAGGAGG